CGGAUCAGUAGGGGGUGUAUCUAAGGGAGGUGGGGGUGUGUCAGACCUCCCUGACCCACGCCGCCCCUCCCCUCCCUCUACCCCCUCUCCGCCCCCUCCCAGGAAGGGCGGGCCUCCCUUCCCCAAGCCUGCCCACCUUCUGCCCCGGCCCACCACAGUUGUGUGAAAACAGGAACCCUCCACCCCCCAAAUCUUCAGAACCACAUCUCCUCCCCAACACAGCUCAUGACCCUCAAAGACCCCCUGGCCAAGGUGAGAGAAUGACUACCCCUCUUGUCACAUUCCAAACCAAGUCUCAGUGGCCACCCUCCUGCCAUUUGCAAAUGUUUCCUGUCUGCCUUCUUUGUGUCUCUCUCCCCUUCACUAAUGAGGACUCUCCCCAUUCUCCUACAUGCCCUUUCCCAACCUUCCCACCCCACUCACCUCGUCCUCAUCCAGCAUGAGCAGCUGGUUCCCCGAGAUGAUGCAGAACCGAGGGUUCCAACCAGGACGAUCAUACGGAGAAUGAACGUAUUGGGUUCGGUGCAUAGAGGGUCCCCGUACAUCUGGGGGACAGAGACACACAGAAACAGUAAGGGAGACUGCAUUUGGACACAGAGGCCUAAAAUGGCAAGAAGAGAGUCUACAAAGUGAAAAGGGGACCCCACCGGCCUUGAGGAGAUCACAGUUGAAAGUGAAGCACCUGGCAACUCUAAAGGAACACAAGACAAGUGUUUAUACAUGGGGAAAAGAGGAGAGGAUCACAUCACAGAAGGCUCUGGAGACUUGGGGGAAGAAAUGCAGAGGUUCAGGGAUGGGAAUUAUAUGACAGAGAAGGUACAUGUUUUGGAGCAGAGAAAGAUGAAAGAGCUCUCCAUCUACUUCAGAAAAAUAACAUGGAGGUGCUGCAGAACUGGCAGGAGAAAAACACAGAGAGGUUGGUGUCAGAUAUCUGGGUAAAGGAAAGCAUCCAAAUAGCUGCAGAAGACAAGGACUUGGAGGUGGCACCAACCCUCUGUAAAGAGUAUGAGGAAAGCCACACAGCUGUGGGAAAGAAGGAUGGGCCGUGUGUGUGUGUGUGUGUGUAGGAACAUUGCGAUCAUGAGAUUCUGAGGGCUAAAUAUCUAGAAAAGAGAGGAAGUGGGGGAGCUUACCUGUUCACAGAGUCAGAGACAUGAGAGGGCCUCCCCUCCCACCUCUCCUUCCUCCUCUGUGCCCUCCUCCCCUAGUUCAACCCUGUUCAUCCUUUGGGGAAAGUUCUGGUUCUUCUGGUGGUAAGGAGAAGAUGGCUUUUGUCGGCAUCUGGCUGUGGAGGGGCCAGGGCAGAAGGUGGGAAAUAUGCCUUUGUUUGGACGAGUAGAGACCAAAUUGAUUUCUUCUCCCAUUCAGUGCCCAGAGAGUCAACACUGCCCCCACCACUGUACCCCACCUAGUCUCAAUGGACAGGAUGGAAGCCCCUCCACAGGUUAGGAGCCUUCCCAAGGCACAGUGAGGAGCCUGAGGAAGAAAGGGGUCAGGGGAAAGAAUGGAAUAUCCAGGCCUGGUGGCACAGAGGGGCCUCCAAAGAUGACAGGUGGAGAUGGGAACAAAACUUUUAGAAGAGAGAAUAGUAGACCAAGUGUCACCCAUGGCUGAGAUGACCUCAGGGUCCUCCUUCCCCAGCUCUGCUGUUCUUCUUUACCAUGCCCCUCUCCCUGCAAACUGCCUCUCCUUUAAACCCCAAUGCCACACAGGCCCUAUUGAAGUAAGACAGAUGUCACAUUGGUGACAUCAAAGAGAUAGAAAUUAGGCUUAAGGUAUCAGAGAGAUUUUAGAGGGAAAAAAAAUCAAACUCUGUCACCUUUAUGAGAUAACUAACCAUGAUUAUAUUGCAGGAGAACUGGUCUUUGAGCUUUAUUCCAACAGAAUGCCCUGAGUAAGAGAGUUUUGAAAAUUCAGCCCUUUUCUGUCUAUAAAUGUCUCUCAAAUUUAUGCAACCUCCAGAUCACAGUGAGCGAUGAGCCCUCAGAAUGUCCACCAUCUAGAAAUCACAAUACUUUGAAACUCUAUCUCAUCUCAGAGACUAACUAAUGUUCAGAGAUCACCGAUACCUAGCCUCAGACUGCAGACAUUGUAGGCAACAUGCCCACCACACUUAGACACUUGGUACACCCAGAGGAGAAAUCUGUCGAUACACAUCAGCAAUUUGGGAAAGGACUGGUUCAGGCUGCAGCCAAAGGAGGCAGGUUAGACUUCAGAGGACAUCUUUCUCCUGGGAGCGGGGAACUUAGCUUAGGAACAACUCUAGAAACACACACACACACACACACACAUACACACACACAAAUACCGUCUGGACUUGGUAAAGAAUGAUUCUGGGAGGCAGAUGCAAGAGGCUGAGGAACAUGGCUAAGAAAGAUGGAAAUUUUACUAGGAUGAGAAAUCCCGCAAGGGCUGAAAUGGGGAACCCUUAUUCUAACCAUCAAAACCUGUGUAUUUGUACCCCAAAUCUCCAACACCCCAAUAAGUAGAGAUGACAAGAAAAGAAUGGUAAUAAGAGUUGAGGUAUUAAGGGAAAGUGGGUAGGCACAGACUUGUGUUGACAAGGAGUGGGGAAGGAAAUAUAGAAUGGCCUGGGGGACAUAUAAUAGGAAUGGAUAUAAAAGAAAAAGA